UGGUCUUCCUAGCCAUCAAAUCUCCUCCCAACCAGUGUAUUAAGUUACACCAAGGGUGUGGUUUUCAUAAAGGGUAUUGUGCAAGAUGUCAGCACAGAAAACCCUGAAAUCUCCUGUCAUGGACACAACGAAUCUACACCUAUAUAGAGAGCAAUUUCUUCUGAAGAACUGAGUUUAACAACUCAGACAAUGAGAACCACUACAAUUCAGGACAUGAGAAGUUGCCACAACCUGAACACUUGC